rnacentral:rRNA from 1 species
AUUGAACGCUGGCGGCAGGCCUAACACAUGCAAGUCGAGCGAGUGGCGGACGGGUGAGUAAUGUAUGGGGAUCUGCCCGAUAGAGGGGGAUAACUACUGGAAACGGUAGCUAAUACCGCAUACUAUCGGAUGAACCCAGAUGGGAUUAGCUAGUGGGUGGGGUAAAGGCUCACCUAGGCGACGAUCCCUAGCUGGUCUGAGAGGAUGAUCAGCCACACUGGAACUGAGACACGGUCCAGACUCCUACGGGAGGCAGCAGUGGGGAAUAUUGCACAAUGGGCGCAAGCCUGAUGCAGCCAUGCCGCGUGUAUGAAGAAGGCCUUCGGGUUGUAAAGUACUUUCAGCGGGGAGGCGUUACCCGCAGAAGAAGCACCGGCUAACUCCGUGCCAGCAGCCGCGGUAAUUC